UUGAUUUACAAUAAUUGGAAUCAUGCAAAGUAUGUGCUCUAACCUUUAAGGAAUUAAAUAGAAAUCAAUAACAGAAAUACAUCUGGAAAAUCCCAAAAUAUGUGGAAAUUAAAAAAUCCAUGAGCCAAAGAGAAAACCUCAAGGGAUAUUAGAAAAUAUUUUGAACUAACUAAAAAUGAAAAUACAACAUAUCAUAAUUUAUGAAAUACAUGAAAAGAUCAUUAAAUGCUCAUAUUAAAAAAGAAGGAAGGUCUCAAAUUUGUUAGCCUCUUAAGAAACUAGUAAAAAAAAAAAAAAAAUCAAAUUAAACCCCAAACAAGCAGAAGGGUAGAAAUGAUAUAUAUAAAAACAGAAAUAAAUGAAGUGGAAAACAGAAAAAUAGUAGAGAAAAAUCAAUGAAACCAAAAGGUGGUUCUCUAAGUAAAACUCUAUGCAGACAUUCUAUGGGUGGUGGGUAUUAUAAAUAAAGUUUCGGUACCGCAAAAGAAAUAGCACUCGAAUAUAAAAUUUUCUUUUUAAUUAUCAGCAAGGCAAGGUACUUCUAUAGAAGGGUGCGCCCUUACAGACGGAGCAAUGGUGAGUGCACACCUGGACAAGGGAGGGAAAGGGGUUCUUACCCCGACACACAUGGCCUCUGAUGCUGUGUCGUUCCCCUAUUGGCUAGGGUUAGACCGCACAGGCUAAACUAAUUCUGAUUGGCUACUUUAAAGAGAGUGACAGGGUGAGUGGUUUGGGAGGAAAAAUGGUUAUGACAGAGCAGUUAAUCGGAAUGAGUGAGGGUGGAGUAGGUAAUCGGAAUCAGUCAUGGUGGAGCAGGUAAUCAGAAUGAGUCAGGGUGGAGCAGGUGAUUGAAAUGAGUCAGAGUGGAGCAGGUAAUCGAAAAAGGUUGCUUUAUGAGGAAGUUAAGUUUAAAAGUAGAAGGCAAAGAAUUGAACAUACUGACAUAUUGAUUCUUUGAAAAGAAAUUUAGAACUCAUAUCUAACAUGGGAGAGUGGGAAGAGGAAGAAGAUACAAAUGACCAGUACCAGGACUGAAAGGGAGAUAUCACUGCAGACCCUACAGACAUUAAAAAGGCUAAUAAGGGAAUACAAUAAACAAUUUUAUGCAUACAAAUUCAACAGUUUAGAUGAGAUGGACAAAUUCCUUGGAAAUUAUAAAUGCCAAAAGUCACCCCAAACUGAAUUUUUAGUGACUGGAGGCAUUUAUCUCAGUGGACUCUCCAGACUUUAUUCAAAGCCAUUGCCUGCUUCCAUCAAGCUUAGUCUUGAAUCUUUACCAAUGUUUGAUUUAUUCCUCUUACUUUUUUUUCUAUUAACUUUGAAUACCAUCCCUCCUCCUUUCCAAGACUUUAUUUAUUGUGAGUGAUAAUUGACAUAACCUUCAGGAACCUCAGAAACCUUAGGCAUCUGCAGAAACAUUUUGAAGCAUAUCAGACUAGCCUAUCUUUCUAGAAACCCGAUUCCCAUUCCCCUCUGCCAAACCCCUCAGCGGCGAUGUGUAUACUUUGUAUUAGUGCAUAUUCAGGAAGGUUCAAAGCACUUGUCUGCUACUCUUUGCAUGGCCACACCCUCAGUCAAGGGCCUUUCUGCUUCCAGCAUCAUUACAGAUGGAUUUGAGGCUUUGGGCUAUCUCCAGGGGAGCCAUCUCCUCCAGGUUUUUGUUCCCUUUUCUGACUCAGAACUUAACCAUUCUGGCAAAACUUUCUGUGGUGUGGCCAUAGUUACAGUACAGCGUUUGCAUUCUAUGGGUCUUACAACACUAUCCCCCAAAUCCACCAAUUUUCAGUAGCAUGUAGCUUGUCUCAUAAGCUUUAUUUCCUGCUUUAAAGGAUGAACAGUCCUCAGAGGAACCAAGUUCCUUGCCCAAAUAAUUUUGGCAAGGCUAAGACACUGAAGGACAUCUAUACGCCUUGUUUUCUCAUACAUCUUAGGCCUGUAAAUUCUGGUUUAUGGGUUCACAUCCAGAGUCCCUCCUUUCUUUCCAGCUUUCCAAUUAGUUUCUGUUAAUUUAUAUGGUAGAAAAUACAUAUUUCAAAGACGUAGUUCUUAGCUCUGUCUCAAAGUGCUUAAGCAGUUUUUAUCAAUUUCUUCUUAUUUGGGAGUGGUAUCCCCAAGCUAAUACCGCCUGUGAGGGAAAAAUAUAUACUCUUAGGCAACAUUUUGCUAGUAGCUUGAUAAUCAUAAGAGUGUCUUCUUGCUAGCAAUAUUUUGAGUACAACAGCAACAGAGUGUGCAAUGGAUUCACUGGUUAAGCCAAAAAGUUAUAAUGUUUGAACCUCCCAAGGGCCACCUCCAUAUUUAAUAUGAAUUUCUUUAAACCACCAGAGCUGGGCCUCAUUUCUCCCAUACUCUGUGGGAGUUCUGACUUUCAUCCAAGAUCUUCCCUAUGACUUUAAGAGCAGAAAGACAUGGUCCUUGUGGUGUCUCCCAAACUGGACUCCUCUUAGUUACAAGUGGACUAUGACUGACUUAUUAAAAUGAUCCUCAUCUUUCCAGAAACACUUGAAUGCUGCCACCAGUAUAUUUUUUAGCUGAGACCUUCCUCUUCCUUUUUUCCCCAUAACCAGAAUCUGUGGUCUGUGCUAACAUUGCUUCUCCAUGAAAAUUUCACUCCCACUCCACUCUUUCUACCUUUCUGCAGAUGCCUGCACUUUCACCGCAAAUCAUGAAAUGAUUACAUAUUUUUAACAGCAUUAUUGAGAUUAAAUUUAUUUACCAUAAAGCUCACCCAGGUAGCAGUGGCUGCCAGCUAUACCCUUUCAUAGAAUUAGCCUUUUCUUUAGGCUUUGCUCUUCUCAAAACAAAUACUUCCCUUUUUGUUCUCUUGUUUCCUCUUGUAAGUCCCUAGGAUUAUUAAACAUAGGGCUUGAAUUUCACUUUGAAAUGUUUUCCACGUUUGUGGUAAUAAUGUCACCUGAGGGUUUCUACUAGAUUAAGUAAAGGAAGAAACAGAGUGGGAGGGGAAUGAAGUGUGACAAACUCUCUUAUAAAAGAUAAGGCAAAAAUGGCAGUCAAUUAUUGUUUCUGAUAAAUGUAAUGUCAUCCAAUAAUUUAUAGUAAUUCUGAGAACUAUAGCCAGUAAAAUGAAUUUGCAUAGUCUGUCUUCUUUAGGACACUGAUUUUCAAACUUGAAUGCACACUGGAAUCACCCGAGGAAUUUAAAAAAACACCGACACCUGGAUCCCACACAAGGACCCUGAUUUAAAUGGAUAAUCCUCACCAGCCUCAGAGUUCAUGUCUGAAAGUAUAGAGGCGGCAGAUAACCAAUGCAAGUGAACAUGGGUGAAAAUGGAUGAAAGUCCAUCUGGGCUGUCUGCAAAAUGAGAAGAUUCUAGACACUGUUUCUUAAAUACCUUGGAGGCGAGGAUCACAAAAUGCUCUCAGAAGUUUAUGAAAGCUAUGGAGUCUCCGGAAAUAUUCAGAAUUUUGCAUGUUCUGGAUGAAGCCUUCCACCAUUUUAAAGCUCCUUUUAUGGAUAUUUCUGGUUUUGGUCUCAGAUUUUCAUUCUCCAAACAUUCUCUUUAGAUGACCACAUUCACUUUCAAGUAUUCAUGCCAAAUAAAUCUUCAUUUCCAGCCCAGACCUCCCUCCAAACUCUUGGUUUGUUUAGUCACUUGCAACACAGAUUAUUCAUCCAGAUUUCCAUGGGCAUCUCAAAAUCAACACAUCCAAAAUGAAGUUAUCAUCCCUGAUAAUCCUCCUAGCUCCUGUCCCAUUCAUCUCCCUCCCAUCUCUCACCCAUAAAGAAUUAACUACUGAUGUUUCUCACUAACCAACCCAUAAUAAUGACCUGCAUUAAUUAAUCCAUGUGCAAUUCAGAAUUACUUACAUUCAUUUAUCCAUGUGAUAUUUUCACUCAUUAAUCACCAUCGUCUGCAUAUGUAAACAGGAACAACAACAUCCACCUAUCCCAGCAGGGGUUUUGCAAUUACUUUAAAGCCUUUUCAAAUAUAUUUUUGUGUGAUUAAAAUGAUGGAGAUAUUUCAAAUGAAUUCAAGUAUAAAAUGCAAAAUAUUCCAACUUCAUAAACUGUUUACUUCUGGCUUAGAAAAUGUUAAUAUUUUUACUCAACCCAUCUGGCUCUGGAGAUGCUGUGUGUGCUUGAUAAUUGUAUGUGAAAAUUAUUAUUUGCAUCUUUAAAAAUUACUUGAGGAAUGCUAUUUAUUAAACUUGUUAUUCCUAUCUAUUUUUUGACAACAUAAUACAACUUUAAAUUCAAAAGAAAAAUUGACAAGACAUAUUUUAGCAGUUUAAAAUGAACAUCACAGAUACAAAAUGAUCAAAGUAAAAUAUUAUUAGCUGUAGAUGACUCAAAUAUUUCCUCGUCUUACUGUCUUUUGUUUUGAUGUGAUUUCCUUCCAUCCUUAAAAAAUCCUGUAGCACCAUCUGCUCCUAUAACACUUUGGCAUGCUUAAAAAUUUCAUUUCCAGACUCGGCAGUUUUGAAAUACUUCCAUGGACAUUUCUUAAAGAAAAUAAGUUGGAAGAAUUUCCAUUCCUCCCAGCUUGUUUCUUAAUAAACAGCAGACGAAGUACUCAAGAAACACAGAGCUAUAUAAAUGUUUUGUUAUAAUCAGACAUUUCCCUUCUGAUUUUCCCUCUGACCCUGUGGCUAUAUUAUGCCUGAGGAAACAGUAUUUUAUAUGCUAUGUGCACAGUUUAUGCAACAAUUUUUUAAUAUGCAGAUCUGGUUUUAUAAUCUGAAUUCUAAAAUGUAAUGAAUUUCCAUGAAGUGUAUGUUUCAUGGAUAAGCCAGCAUUUAAUAAAUGACUAGAUUACCCAAACACUCCAAGGGAAGUUGGAGACUAAGCAAGUAAUAUCAGUAAAAAUAAUCCAAUAAACUAAAUAGAUUCUCCUUCUACGAAAUUUAACCAUACAUUUAGAAAAAAUUAGACUUCCAGUUUUUGACAGCGGUAAUGGAAAAUUAAGUGGCUCAUUUUUUCAAUGUGUAUGACUCCAAGUCGUUGAAACUGAUACAGAAGUAUAAAUAAGAGGUAUUAAGUGAUGCUGAAACUGUGGUAGGAGAAAUAGCAAUGGACUAAUGGCCUCCUCAGGGAAGCCUAAAUAUAGGUGUUGCAUUGUUUACAAAUAUAUUCAUCCUUUUAGUCACUUAUUCAGCAUAUAUCAAACACCUACUAUGUCUAGAUUUCAUGUUAGUUUCUGCAAUGAAUCAAUAAUUUCCUUGUCAUUUUAAAAUAAUAUUUAUCUAUCAUCUUAGAGAUGCAACUUGGUCCCCUUCAUCCAGCAAUUUCUACUCUAACCCGUUUUUCACAUAAUAGCCAGAGUAAAUUUUGUAAAGUUACAAUUGUAUUGUAGGAUAAAGGUCUAACUCCUUAAUGUGGUUUACAAUGCCCUUUACAAAAGUCUCACUUUUACUUACCCUCUUAGUCUCUGCCUUUCUACACUUACUGUCUAGCCAUACUGAAUUACUUCGCUGUCACUCGAGACUUAGUUCUUUGCAUGCUCUUUCCUCCACCAAAAAUAUUUUUUUUUCUCCUCUCCUUACCUGGCUUCUUUUUUAAAAACUUUUAUUUAUUUAUUUAUUUAUUUUGAGACAGAGUCUCUCUCUAUCACCCAGGUGGGAGUGCAGGGGUGCAAUCUCGGGCUCACUGCAACCUCUGCCUUCCAGGUUCAAGCGAUCCUCCUGCCUCACCCUCCCAAGUAGCUGGGAUUACAGGCAUGCACCACCAUGCCUGGCUAAUUUUUGUAGUUUUAGUAGAGACGGGGUUUCACCAUGUUGGCCAGGCUGGUCUCAAACUCCUGACCUCAAGUGAUCUGCCUGAGGCCUCCCAAAGUACUGGGAUUACAGGCGUGAGCCACCGUUCCCGGCCUCUUUACCUGACUUCUUUUCUUUACCCUUUAGUUUCUGACAUAAACAUCUUAUCAGUGAAACCUUCCCUAAGGAACAAUGCCAAGUCAGAUGACCAUAGUGACCUAUGCUUUCCACCUUGCAGCACAUAACACAGCCAGUUAUUUAUUUCCUUGCCUCUUCUACUGGACUGUAAACCCCUUGAGGACAGGAAAUAUACUUUGCUUGCCCUGGAAACCUCGUUAUGUGAAAUAGCACUUUGGCAUACCUUGGUAAAAAAAAGGCUGAAUGAGGAAGUGGAAGAGUGAGCCAUGCAUUCUUCCUGUCUCUCUGAGUGAGGUCAUUCAAAAUGGCAAGGGUGUAAAGACGAGGGAGGCAUUCAUUUGCCUUGCCACUUGACUACAUGGGUUGGAAUAUUUGAUGGUAAAUGCACAUACUUAAUCAUACUCUUUUUUAAACACUACAUUUAAAUUCUAAUUUACUAUUAAAAUAUUUCCAACUUAAAUCAGUAAUGCCUUAAUUUUUCUUAUGGAGAAGAGUGUGUGACUUACUCUUCUUGUUUACUUUAGUGCAUUAUGAUGGACUGAAAUACAAAACAAUUCCAAGAUCAACUUAAAUAUAUUUUUCUUGUUUUGGAAGCAGAAUAAUAAUAACAAAUUAACUAAUCUAGAGAAAUAAAUAUGUUCAGUAGAGAGAUAAUUGCAUUUGCUUGGGUAAAAUAUUUUGGCUUGCUCAGUAUCACAUGUAUACAGCUGUAUUUCUAAAACAACUUUAUUCAUAAAUAACAUUUCUUUAAAUAUUUAUUGAUAAUGAUAUGGCAAUCUAGUAUACUAUGACUUUAACCUCUAUAGAUUCUAAGAUCAAAUAUGUAAAUGAAAUAAACAUACAUCUAUGCAUAUUCAACUAGGAAGCAUUGUAUUGAAACACUAAUGAUAGUAUUAAGGGUUGAAUUUUAUUUUCAUUUUUUUACUUUUCUAUAUUUUUCCAAACUUUGAGAAUGAGCACAUAGAAAAGAAAACCAAUUAACAUUUUUAUAUAUGAGAUAGAGCAGAAAAGAUAAUGACAUUGUUCAAGAGAGAAAUAGUAGAUAUGGGUGUUCCAUAAGUUUCUUGCUAGCUUUAAAACUAAUUUUAUGAGUUCUCAAUUGUACUGUCAAAAAAUAUAUAGAUUUCAAUCCAGUAGAGAUUCAAAUAGAAAUAUCUGUCAAAUAUUCUUUCUUAAUAGAUAAUUAAUGAAAAAGCAUACAAUAUGACUGUCAUAAAAGGUGAAUGCCUUUCACCUCAUGGGCACUUACGUAUCUAAUGAAUCCAUGAACUGGUCAAUGAAUAGAAACUGAAGUUUGUGUAUUAAAAUCCUGUCUCUGCUGCCCUCCAGUGGCUUAACUCUGAAGAACUUCAAAAGAGAAAAUCAAGUGCCAUCUAUUCCCAGAUCCUUAUUUGUGGUGAGUAUGAAUGCUCAGGUGUGUGAGCUUGGGAUUUUUCCUGGACAGUUUUGUAUUUGUCCUAUUAGAUAUUACCUUGGUAUAUCAAGACCAAAUUCCCAAGACUAAAUGCAUUACCCAUCUCCUCCCACCUGCAGAAGGGUAAGCUGGAGCAACUGCCAUAAAUGGUGCCAAUAAAUACUAGCAUUUGUUCGUGGACAGUUUAUAGAGACUUUUCAAUUGUGUUAUCACAGAAAACUCCUAGUAAGAAAUAGUGGUGAUAGCAAUUGCAUCUCGUUUAUUAGAAAUUUCUCUGAUUCCCUUUACAAAGUGGGUGAUGGUGUCAGUGUUAUCUUUAGGUAUGAAAACCCUAUGAACAGCUUAUAGUCUAAAACUUACAAUGUGGUGCUGUAGAAAGAUGUUAGCUUAGCAGCAAACAUCAUCAAUAAAUAUCUUCUGCAAUCUGGUAACCAUUAGAAUUAUAUAUUUUUUAUUGCCCUGGACUAUGAGAAUUACAUUCUGAAUUCAUUUGGUAUCUUGUGUAGGCAUAGGAGAAAACCUUUUUGUAUCUAAGAAAAUGGGGUUUUUGACAUUGACUAUCACCUGUUCCCAGAUCUCCUAGGACUCAGACCUCAGACCUCACACCCCUGAAAGCUGAAACCUCGGGGGUUUCAGAUAGUGAUCUCUAAUUGAGUUCUUGUCUAGAUGAAUUCUUAAAAUAUUUUACCUUUCCCUGUUAUUGUGGUUCUGGAAUAUUCUUUUGGUUUUAGCCAAGGAAAUCUCUCAAUUUCUUCAAAAGUUUGCUACUGUGCCUCUAGGUGGUACAAUUAUUUCCAUCUUUUUGCUCAUUUGCAGCCUGUCUUUUUGGAUUAUAGUCUCUCACUACUUAAGCAAUUUCUUCCUUUUCUGUAGUAUGUCUCAUUUGUCCUUCAUAAUAAUGAAUGUCUGUGUUUUUUAUUCUCAGGUAGAUUACUGGAAUUUUACGUAUAUUUUAUUGGUGUUCUCAUGAAUGCUUGGAUUUAACAAUUGUACCAUUUUCCAACGUUCUAUGUCAUAGUAAUUUUGCAACUUGUUUUCAAUUAAUAAUAUGUUGAGAAUAGUGUACAUAAAAUGCAUUUUAGAACUAAUCCUAAGAUAAAGUGUCUCACCAAAGCAUAUUUUAUAACAAUAAAGCAGUAGAAAAAAUAAGUUAACUAAAUGUCCAACAAGUGGAGAUGUAUUAUAUAAAUUCAGUACCAUCAAAAAUGUAAUAUUACUCAGUAAUUAAAAUUAUAUUUUAUUUAAAUGUUCAUUGGCUUGUGAAAAGUCUAUAACAUACCAAGUAGAAGUUAAAGUUAUAUUUUGUAAGUUAAAAAAAUUUUAAAAGGUGAGAAGUAUAUACAAGAUUUUUCCCAUUUUUUUAGAAAUGGAUAUGCAUGUGUAUAUUGUAUGUAUGUUUAUAUGUUA